rnacentral:rRNA from 12 species
AAGCAUCGCCACACCUGAAUGCAAGUGCCUGAUCUUGGAAGUUAAGCAAAGUUGUGCCUGGUCAGUACAUGGAUGGGAGACCACCUUGGAAGAUCAGCAGGUUGUGUCUG